GAUGAACGCUAGCGGCAUGCCUAAUACAUGCAAGUCGAACGGGAUUCAGGAGCUUGCUUCUGAUGAGAGUGGCGCACGGGUGCGUAACACGUAUGUAACCUACCUUUAUCAGGGGGAUAGCCUCUCGGAAGAGAGAUUAUGCCCGCAUAAAAUCACAGCACAGCAUUGUGUAAUGAUCAAAUAUUUAUAGGAUAAAGAUGGGAAUGCGGAACACUAGCUAGAUGGCGGGGUAACGGCCCACCAUGGCGACGAUGUUUAGGGGAUCUGAGAGGAUGGCCCCCCACACUGGUACUGAGACACGGACCAGACUCCUACGGGAGGCAGCAGUAAGGAAUAUUGGUCAAUGGGCGGAAGCCUGAACCAGCCAUGCCGCGUGCAGGAAGACGGCCCUACGGGUUGUAAACUGCUUUUAUACGGGAAUAAACCCAGAUACGUGUAUCUGGCUGAAUGUACUGUAAGAAUAAGGAUCGGCUAACUACGUG
rnacentral:rRNA from 1 species